GAUGAACGCUGGCGGCGUGCCUAAUACAUGCAAGUCGAGCGAACAGAUGAGGAGCUUGCUCCUCUGACGUUAGCGGCGGACGGGUGAGUAACACGUGGAUAACCUACCUAUAAGACUGGGAUAACUUCGGGAAACCGGAGCUAAUACCGGAUAAUAUAUUGAACCGCAUGGUUCAAUAGUGAAAGACGGUUUUGCUGUCACUUAUAGAUGGAUCCGCGCCGCAUUAGCUAGUUGGUAAGGUAACGGCUUACCAAGGCAACGAUGCGUAGCGGACCUGAGAGGGUGAUCGGCCACACGGGAACUGGGACACGGUCCAGGCUCCUACGGGAGGCAGCAGUAGGGAAUCUUCCGCAAUGGGCGAAAGCCUGACGGAGCAACGCCGCGUGAGUGAUGACGGUCUUCGGAUCGUAAAGCUCUGUUAUUAGGGAAGAACAAAUGUGUACGUAACUAUGCACGUCUUGACGGUACCUAAUCAGAAAGCCACGGCUAACUACGUG
rnacentral:rRNA from 1 species